GAUGAAGAACGUAGCGAAAUGCGAUAAGUAGUGUGAAUUGCAGAAUUCAGUGAAUCAUCGAAUCUUUGAACGCACAUUGCGCCCCCUGGUAUUCCGGGGGGCAUGCCUGUCCGAGCGUCAUUGCUGCCCUCAAGCACGGCUUGUGUGUUGGGCUCCGCCCCCCUCCCGGGGGGCGGGCCCGAAAGGCAGCGGCGGCACCGCGUCCGGUCCUCGAGCGUAUGGGGCUUUGUCACCCGCUCUGUAGGCCCGGCCGGCGCCCGCCGGCGACCCCAAUCAAUCUUUCCAGGUUGACCUCGGAUCAGGUAGGGAUACCCGCUGAACUUAAGCAUAUCAAUAAGCGGAGA
rnacentral:misc_RNA from 1 species